rnacentral:misc_RNA from 1 species
ACGCCUCAACUCUUUAUGGUUUUCCAUGAUGAGCUUGGACUUUGGGGGUUUUGCUGGCUUACGGUCGGCUCCUCUAAAAUAAAUCAGCUUACCAGUGUUUGGUGGGUAUCAUGGGUGUGAUAACUAUCUACGCUUGUGGUUUUUCCACCAGGUAACCUUCAGCAGUGGAGGUUCACUGGAGCUCAUAGACGUCUCUCCUCAGCGAGGACAGCCCCUUUGAAU